rnacentral:rRNA from 1 species
CAACAUGAGAGUUUGAUCCUGGCUCAGAACGAACGCUGGCGGCAGGCCUAACACAUGCAAGUCGAGCGCACCCUUCGGGGUGAGCGGCGGACGGGUGAGUAACGCGUGGGAACCUGCCCAGGGCUCUGGGAUAACUGCUGGAAACGGCAGCUAAUACCGGAUACGCCGUAUUGGGAAAGAAAUUCGGCCUUGGAUGGGCCCGCGUUGGAUUAG